GGGAAGCAGUCAGGGCAGCUGCUUUACAAAGGGCCAUGUGCCCUGAUGCGAGUUGGAAGAAGCUGAGCCCAGCAGCAGAAAGCAGGCUGUUGUCCCAACUCUGAAGCCUUUUGCAGCAGGUUCGCACCUUCCAAGAGUGGGAAACCCUGCACUAAAAUAUUGCAUGUUCCUGUUAUUUUCAGACAGACAGCUUUGGAUUCACAUUGUUUCUUCUACUUGUAAGCUACACCAAGCAGCUGUUCUGCAGCUGAUGACAAGUUUAUACUUUGAUGCAGAGUUCAAGAGAAAGAAACAGACAAGUUCUUUUACUCCUGAUUGUUGGUAACAGCACAAGAAACUCCAGCCUACAUAACUUCUGCUCAGAAAGACAGCUUGCACAGCAGGUAUUGCCUUCCUUAGUUCUAGUCUAGUGACUGGGGACUGAGAAUGUACAAUGUGAGGAC